AUUGAACGCUGGCGGCAGGCCUAACACAUGCAAGUCGAACGAGUGGCGGACGGGUGAGUAAUGUCUGGGAAACUGCCUGAUGGAGGGGGAUAACUACUGGAAACGGUAGCUAAUACCGCAUACCAUCGGAUGUGCCCAGAUGGGAUUAGCUAGUAGGUGGGGUAAAGGCUCACCUAGGCGACGAUCCCUAGCUGGUCUGAGAGGAUGACCAGGCACACUGGAACUGAGACACGGUACAGACGCCUACGGGAGGCAGCAGUGGGGAAGAUUGCACAAUGGGCGCAAGGCGGAUGGAGACAUGCCGCGUGUAUGAAGAAGGGAUUCGGGUUGUAAAGUACUAUCAGCGGGGAGGCGUUACCCGCAGAAGAAGCACCGGCUAACUCCGUGCCAGCAGCCGCGGUAAUUC
rnacentral:rRNA from 1 species